rnacentral:ncRNA from 1 species
CGCGGGAAUGCCGAAAACCGUGGAAAAGAGUAGGCU